GAUGAACGCUGGCGGCGUGCCUAAUACAUGCAAGUCGAACGAGGUGCUUUUGUAGCAAUACGAGAGUAUCCUAGUGGCGAACGGGUGAGUAACGCGUGGGUGACCUGCCCCAAAGUGUGGGAUAACAGAUCGAAAGAUCUGCUAAUACCGCAUGUGGUUAUCGGGUUUAGAAACUGAUAACUAAAGCAGCAAUGCGCUUUGGGAGGGGCCUGCGUCCCAUCAGCUAGUUGGUGAGGUAACGGCUCACCAAGGCGACGACGGGUAGGGGACCUGAGAGGGUGGCCCCCCACAAUGGAACUGAAACACGGUCCAUACACCUACGGGUGGCAGCAGUAGGGAAUAUUGCUCAAUGGGCGAAAGCCUGAAGCAGCAACGCCGCGUGUGCGAUGAAGGCCUUCGGGUCGUAAAGCACUUUUCUGAGAGAUGAG
rnacentral:rRNA from 1 species